rnacentral:rRNA from 1 species
AUGAGGAAAGAAUAUGGGGGCUUGGGGGUCCUAAACCUCCAAGAUAUGAAUGUGUGUUUAAUAGGGUCAUGGGUUAAAAGGUAUUUAGCGGGGGAAGGCUCGUUGUGGGGGAAGGUAGUGGAUAGUAAAUACAAUACUAGGAACCCAAAUAUCUUAUGCUGCCAAGAUACCCACCCCUCCCAGUUCUAGAAAAGCUUUAUGUGGGCUUUGCAGGCUGUGAAGUUGGGAUACAAAUGGCAGAUAGGAGAUGGGAAUAAAGUGAGGUUUUGGGAAGAUAUCUGGCACGGGAAUGCCCCUUUAGCUACGCAGUUUUGGGACCUGAGUAUAUAGUCCAGGAAAAAAAAUAGGACAAUGGCUGAAUUGUGGGAUGGUAAUGAACUUAAGUGUACUUUUAGAAGAAAUUUUUCGGAGGAAUUAAUGGUCCAGUGGCUGGACUUGGUUAACAUUGUUAGAUUGACUCCUUUUAGUGGGGAGGAGGAUUCCUUGAUCUGGCAUAUGAGUCUAAGGGGGUUUAUUCCUCUAAAUCCUUGUAUGCUAUUGUCAAUUUCAGGGGGGUGCAGCCCAUCUUCCUCCCUGCUGUUUGGAGUGUUAGAAUCCCUCCAAAAGUACAAGGUUUCUUGUGGCUUUUUUCUCAGAACAAAAUUAUGA